GAUGAACGCUGACAGAAUGCUUAACACAUGCAAGUCAACUUGAAUUUGGGUUUUUAACUUAGGUUUGGGUGGCGGACGGGUGAGUAACGCGUAAAGAACUUGCCUCACAGCUAGGGACAACAUUUGGAAACGAAUGCUAAUACCUAAUAUUAUGAUAAUAGGGCAUCCUAUAAUUAUGAAAGCUAUAAGCGCUGUGAGAGAGCUUUGCGUCCCAUUAGCUAGUUGGAGAGGUAACGGCUCACCAAGGCGAUGAUGGGUAGCCGGUCUGAGAGGGUGAUCGGCCACAAGGGGACUGAGACACGGCCCUUACUCCUACGGGAGGCAGCAGUGGGGAAUAUGGGACAAUGGACCGAGAGUCUGAUCCAGCAAUUCUGUGUGCACGAUGAAGUUUUUCGGAAUGUAAAGUGCUUUCAGUUGGGAAGAAACAAAUGACGGCACCAACAGAAGAAGUGACGGCUAAAUACGUG
rnacentral:rRNA from 1 species